CGAAAUACUAUCGACGAAUAACA
rnacentral:miRNA from 1 species